GUUAUUAGACUAAAUUGAAUGAAAAUAUGUUAAAUUAAGGCUUGGUAAGCUAGCUAUUAAGGUGAAAUGCUAAUGUUAGUAUUUGAUUUGGUAAUAAUCUGUUUGGGGACAGCAGCAGUAAGGUGAUUUUGGAAAAUCGUCAUAAUUUGUAGGAGUUGAAUUAGAAGCUGAGUGAAUUAUGCCAUUAAAGCUUGAAGAGUCUAUUUUCUUACAAAAGAAACUAUUAAAACAAAA
rnacentral:lncRNA from 1 species